rnacentral:lncRNA from 1 species
AUCGGAGCUUCGAGUGGACCUUCCGUAGAGAUUGGACAUGUGUGCAGCUACAAGCAACCAGCAAAGAUCCUCGUUACCAUAUUCAUCAACAACAAUGAUCGUCGAUCCAUACUCAGGUAUCAAGUUCUGAACUCAGAUAGAUGUAGAUUUGAUCUACUGUUUACAUGCAUGUAUGCAGAUUUAUCUAAAUUUUUUAGAUUUUAUAUGCAAUAUAUUGUUGCCCCA